rnacentral:rRNA from 1 species
GACAGAGGGUGCAAACGUUGUUCGGAAUUACUGGGCGUAAAGCGCGUGUAGGCGGCCUGCCAAGUCUGCUGUGAAAGCGCCUGGCUUAACCGGGCGAGGUCGGUGGAAACUGGCGGGCUGGAGGCUGGUAGAGGGGGGUGGAAUUCCUGGUGUAGCGGUGAAAUGCGCAGAUAUCAGGAGGAACACCGGUGGCGAAGGCGGGUCUCUGGGCAACAACUGACGCUGAGGAGCGAAAGCGUGGGGAGCGAACAGG